UACGGAGGGUGCGAGCGUUGUCCGGAAUCACUGGGCGUAAAGGGCGCGUAGGUGGCGUCGCAAGUCAACGGUGAAAGCUCGACGCUCAACGUCGAGUCGGCCGUCGAGACUGCGAGGCUUGAGCACUGUAGAGGCAGAUGGAAUUCCGGGUGUAGCGGUGGAAUGCGUAGAGAUCCGGAAGAACACCGGUGGCGAAGGCGGUCUGCUGGGCCAAGACUGACGCUGAGGCGCGACAGCGUGGGGAGCAAACAGG
rnacentral:rRNA from 1 species